GUGCUCACUUCGGCAGCACAUAAACUAAAAUUAGAAUGAAACAGAGAAGAUUAGCAUGAUCCCUACACAAGGGUGACAUGUAAACUUGUGAAGCAUUCCAUAUUAAA